rnacentral:ncRNA from 1 species
CAUCUUCAGGGCGGGGUGCAAGUCCCCACCGGCGGUGAUGGCCUCUGGCCUCAGUCCGCGACCGCGCAAGCGUUGAACCGGUGUGAAUCCGGUACCGACAGUGACAGUCUGGAUGGAAGAAGAUG